UAUGACGGAUUAAUAAGUCAGUGGUGAAAACCUGCAGCUUAACUGUAGAACUGCCAUUGAUACUGUUAGUCUUGAGUACGGUCAAGGUAGGCGGAAUGUGUAAUGUAGCGGUGAAAUGCUUAUAUAUUACACAGAAACACCCGAUUGCGAAGGCAGCUUACUGGGCCAUUACUGACGCUGAUGCACGAAAGCGUGGGGAGCGUACAGGAUUAGAUACCCUGGUAGUCCACGCCGUAAACGAUGAUCACUCGCUGUUAGCGAUACACAGUUAGCGGCUAAGCAAAAGCAUUAAGUGAUCCACCUGGGGAGUACGGCCGCAAGGCUGAAACUCAAAGGAAUUGACGGGGGCCCGCACAAGCGGAGGAACAUGUGGUUUAAUUCGAUGAUACGCGAGGAACCUUACCUGGGCUUAAAUGUAGAGUGCAUGAGGUAGAAAUACUUCUUUCCUUCGGGACUCUUUGCAAGGUGCUGCAUGGUUGUCGUCAGCUCGUGCCGUGAGGUGUCGGGUUAAGUCCCAUAACGAGCGCAACCCUUAUCGUUAGUUGCCAGCGGGUAAUGCCGGGAACUCUAACGAAACUGCCGGUGUAAACCGUGAGGAAGGUGGGGAUGACGUCAAAUCAGCACGGCCCUUAUGUCCAGGGCUACACACGUGUUACAAUGGCCGGUACAGAGGGCAGCUACCUGGAGACAGGAUGCGAAUCUCCAAAGCCGGUCUCAGUUCGGAUCGGAGUCUGCAACUCGACUCCGUGAAGCUGGAUUCGCUAGUAAUCGCGCAUCAGCCAUGGCGCGGUGAAUACGUUCCCGGGCCUUGUACACACCGCCCGUCAAGCCAUGGAAGUUGGGGGUACCUGAAGUCCGUAACCGAAAGGAGCGGCCUAGGGUAAAACUAGUGACUGGGGCUAAGUCGUAACAAGGUAACC
rnacentral:rRNA from 1 species